rnacentral:rRNA from 1 species
UACGUAGGGUGCGAGCGUUAAUCGGAAUUACUGGGCGUAAAGCGUGCGCAGGCGGUUCGUUAUGUCCGAUGUGAAAGCCCCGAGCUCAACUUGGGAAUGGCAUUGGAAACUGGCGGGCUGGAGUGUGGCAGAGGGGGGUGGAAUUCCGCGUGUAGCAGUGAAAUGCGUAGAGAUGCGGAGGAACACCGAUGGCGAAGGCAGCCCCCUGGGCUGACACUGACGCUCAGGCACGAAAGCGUGGGGAGCAAACAGG